GACGAACGCUGGCGGCGUGCCUAAUACAUGCAAGUCGAGCGGAACUGGGGGAGCUUGCUCCUUCCAGUUUAGCGGCGGACGGGUGAGUAACACGUGGGCAACCUGCCCUGCAGAUCGGGAUAACUCCGGGAAACCGGUGCUAAUACCGAAUAGUUUGGCGCCUCUCCUGAGGCGCUACGGCAAGACGGUUUCGGCUGUCACUGCAGGAUUGGCCCGCGGCGCAUUAGCUAGUUGGUGGGGUAACGGCCCACCAAGGCGACGAUGCGUAGCCGACCUGAGAGGGUGACCGGCCACACUGGGACUGAGACACGGCCCAGACCCCUACGGGAGGCAGCAGUAGGGAAUCUUCCGCAAUGGACGCAAGUCUGACGGAGCAACGCCGCGUGAGUGACGAAGGUUUUCGGAUCGUAAAACUCUGUUGUGAGGGAAGAACACGUACCAACUAACUAUUGGUACCUUGACGGUACCUCACCAGAAAGCCACGGCUAACUACGUGCCAGCCGCCGCAGUAA
rnacentral:rRNA from 1 species